GGGCUCAGGAUGAACGCUGGCGGUAUGCUUAACACAUGCGAGUCGAACGAUGUUUUAGGACAUAGUGGCGGACGGGUGAGUAACGCGUGAGAAUCUGCCUUCAGGUCGGGGAUAACUACUGGAAACGGUAGAUAAUACCGGAUGUGCCGAGAGGUGAAAGGCUUGCUGCCUGAAGAAGAGCUCGCGUCUGAUUAGCUAGUUGGUAGUGUAAGGGACUACCAAGGCGACGAUCAGUAGCUGGUCUGAGAGGAUGAUCAGCCACACUGGGACUGAGACACGGCCCAGACUCCUACGGGAGGCAGCAGUGGGGAAUUUUCCGCAAUGGGCGAAAGCCUGACGGAGCAAUACCGCGUGAGGGAGGAAGGCUCUUGGGUCGUAAACCUCUUUUCUUAGGGAAUAAAAAAAAUGAAGGUACCUAAGGAAUAAGCAUCGGCUAACUCCGUGCCAGCAGCCGCGGUAAUACGGAGGAUGCAAGCGUUAUCCGGAAUGAUUGGGCGUAAAGGGUCUGUAGGUGGCAGUGAAAGUCUGCGGUUAAAGAGUCUAGCUCAACUAGAUAAGAGCCGUGGAAACUACACAGCUAGAGUAUGGUCGGGGCAAGAGGAAUUCCUGGUGUAGCGGUGAAAUGCGUAGAUAUCAGGAAGAACACCGGUGGCGAAAGCGUUUUGCUAGGCCGAGACUGACACUGAGGGACGAAAGCUAGGGGAGCGAAUGGGAUUAGAUACCCCAGUAGUCCUAGCCGUAAACGAUGGAUACUAGGUGUGGCUUGUAUCGACCCGAGCCGUACCGUAGCUAACGCGUUAAGUAUCCCGCCUGGGG
rnacentral:rRNA from 1 species